UACGGAGGGUGCAAGCGUUGUUCGGAAUUACUGGGCGUAAAGGGCUCGUAGGCGGCCAACUAAGUCGGACGUGAAAUCCCUCAGCUUAACUGGGGAACUGCGUCCGAUACUGGAUGGCUUGGAUUUGGGAGAGGGAUGCGGAAUUCCAGGUGUAGCGGUGAAAUGCGUAGAGAUCAGUAGGAACACCAAUGGCGAAGGCAGCUUGCUGGCAUGUAUCUGGACGCUAAGGCACGAAAGCGUGGGGAGCGAACAGG
rnacentral:rRNA from 1 species